AGUGAACGCUGGCGGUAGGCCUAACACAUGCAAGUCGAACGGCAGCACAGAGGAGCUUGCUCCUUGGGUGGCGAGUGGCGGACGGGUGAGGAAUACAUCGGAAUCUACUCUGUCGUGGGGAUAACGGAGGGAAACUUACGCUAAUACCGCAUACGACCUAAGGGUGAAAGGAGGGGAUCUUCGGUCCUUGCGCGGUUGAAUGGGCCGAUGGCGGCGUAGGUAGGUGGCGGGGUAAAGGCCCCCCAAGGCGACGAUCCAUAGCUGGUCUGAGAGGAUGAUCAGCCACACUGGAACUAAGACACGGUCCAGACUCCUACGGGAGGCAGCAGUGGCGAAUAUUGGACAAUGGGCGCAAGCCUGAUCCAGCCAUACCGCGUGGGUUAAGAAGGCCUUCGGCUUGUAAAGCCCUUUUGUUGGGAAAGAAAUCCAUCUGGUUAAUACCCGGGUGGGAUGACGGUACCCAAAGAAUAAGCACCGGCUAACUUCGUGCCAGCAGCCGCCGCCG
rnacentral:rRNA from 1 species